UCCCUCCGUCGUUUUACACUAUUUACAUUUACGUUUUACCGUUCGUCUUAUUUAAAAAAUUUUUAUGAUUAGUAUUUUUAUUACUAUUAGAUGAUAAAACAUGAAUAGUAUUUUAUGUGUGACUAAAUAUUUUUUAAUUUUUCACAAAUUUUUUAAAUAAGACGGACGGUUAAAUGUUAGGCACGGAUAUUUAUA
rnacentral:pre_miRNA from 1 species